CGCUGGAGGGCGGAGGGGGAUGGAGAGCGGGAGCAGCCUCACAGAAUCACAGAGUAUUCUGAAGGGACCCACGAGGAUCAUCGAGUCCGGCUCCUGGCCCUGCACAGGAUGCCCCAACUACAUGGCAAAGCAGCCAGCACUGACAAACAGAAGUUUUGUGUUUUACGAUCCACCACAACUGCUGAACUUCUCAGGACUCCUGAACAAAAGUAUAAAAAGUGCUAUUUUGCUCUAGCUCACUGUAGUUAAAACACUUUUGAUCCUGAGGAAGCAUCCAGGCAGGUGCUCUCCCACAGCACAGCUCAGACUAAAAACAAAACGUAAUUGUCAUGUGGAAACAGCAUUUUCUCUUCCAUUUUCACAGGAGGAAAAUGGUUAACAGGGUUAACAGGUGGGCAUAAAAGGACGUCUCAGCAAGUCCUCUUCUCCUGCAAGUCAGCAGCUAGGAGGGAAACGGCCAAAGCAGGGAAGCAACGCCUGUUUAAAGAGAAGAAGGACUUUUCCACCUUACCACUUUUUUUCCCCCCUCAGGUGCUGUGACUAGAAAGUAUUCCCUUCCUUUUUCUCCAAAACAAAUAGGAAACUAGAGAAGUCCCUAACCCAGAACCUGUAUCCCUAAAAUGAAGUCUUUGCUUUCCAGCACCACCAUGCUGGCAUGUAUGUAUCAUGAGUGCAAAACAUAAUUUAAGCAUAAUUAAAUUAAGAAAUUCCUCUGCACAAUAAAGGUGAUUUGUUUAUCUA